GCGGCUGUAGCUCAAUGGAUAGAGCAGGGGACUCCUAAGCCCAAGGUUGGAGGUUCGAUUCCUCUCAGCCGCGCCA
rnacentral:tRNA from 1 species